AUUGAACGCUGGCGGCAGGCCUAACACAUGCAAGUCGAGCGGAGCGGCGGACGGGUGAGUAAUGCCUAGGAAUCUGCCUGGUAGUGGGGGACAACGUCCGGAAACGGGCGCUAAUACCGCAUACUAUCAGAUGAGCCUAGGUCGGAUGAGCUAGUUGGUGGGGAAAAGGCCUACCCAGGCGACGAUCCGUAACUGGUCUGAGAGGAUGAUCAGUCACCCGGAAACUGAGACACGGUCCAGACUCCUACGUGAGGCAGCAGUGGGGAAGAUUUGACAAUGGGCGAAAGCCUGAUCCAGCCAUGCCGCGUGUGUUAAGAAGGUCUUCGGAUUGUAAAGCACUUUAAGUUGGGAGGCGUUACCAACAGAAUAAGCACCGGCUAACUUCGUGCCAGCAGCCGCGGUAAUUC
rnacentral:rRNA from 1 species